rfam:Salinicola sp. MIT1003 NODE_21_length_78100_cov_69.4051_ID_41, whole genome shotgun sequence.
CCUCUUCCACCUGCUGCGGGCAGAUGAAAUGGAUAUGCGCGUCGAUACCGCCGGCAGUCAGGAUCUUGCCCUCGCCAGCGAUGAUUUCGGUGCCCGGACCGAUGACGAUGUCGACGCCCGGCUGCACGUCGGGGUUGCCGGCCUUGCCGAUGGCGGCGAUCCGGCCCUUCUGCAGGCCGACAUCCGCCUUGACCACGCCCCACCAGUCUAGAAUCAGGGCAUUGGUGAUGACCGUAUCCAUGACCGAAUCGUCGUGUCGCUGGCUCUGUCCCAUGCCGUCACGG